GUUUUGUAGAAGGUGAUACCAAUUAUCACGAAUGACUUUGGAUGGUUCAAGAUUUCAAUGGAGGAAAUAACAGCAAAUGUGGUGGAAAUAGCAAGAGAACUAGAAUUAGGCUGAGUGUGGUGGCUCACACCUAUAAUCCCAACACUUUGGGAGGCAGAGGCAGGCAGAUCACUUGAGCUUACAAGUUCAAGACCAGAUCUGGCCAACAUGGCGAAACCCCAUCUCUACUAAAAAUACAAAAAAUUUAGCGGGGCAUUGUGGUACACGGCUGUAGGUCCUAGCUACUCG